rnacentral:rRNA from 1 species
AACGAACGCUGGCGGCAGGCUUAACACAUGCAAGUCGGACGCCCCGCAAGGGGAGUGGCAGACGGGUGAGUAACGCGUGGGAACGUGCCCUUCGCUUCGGAAUAGCCCCGGGAAACUGGGAGUAAUACCGGAUACGCCGUAUUGGGAAAGAUUUAUCGGCGAAGGAUCGGCCCGCGUUGGAUUAGCUAGUUGGAGGUGUAAUGGACCCCCAAGGCUACGAUCCAUAGCUGGUCUGAGAGGAUGAUCAGCCGCACUGGGACUGAGACACGGCCCAGACUCCUACGGGAGGCAGCAGUGGGGAAUCUUGGACAAUGGGCGCAAGCCUGAUCCAGCCAUGCCGCGUGAGUGAAGAAGGCCUUAGGGUUGUAAAACUCUUUCGCCGGAGAAGAUAAUGACGGUAUCCGGAGAAGAAGCCCCGGCUAACUUCGUGCCAGCCGCCGCGGUAAUAC